CUCAAAGCUGCGUCCAGCCUGGUCCAAGCACUUCCUGGGGUCCAGGGGCAGCCACAGCUGCUCUGGGCAGCGUGUGCCAGGGCCUCAUCACCCUCACAGGGAAGAAUUUUUUUCCUAAAAGCCAAUAUAAACCUAUUCUCUGUCAGUUUGAAGCCGUUCCCACCUGUCCUGUCACUCCAGACCCUUGUAAAGAGUCUCUCCCCAUCCUGCAGGUACUGGGAAGCCACAAUUAGGUCACCCCAAAACUUCUCCAGGCUGAACAAUCCAAAUUCUCUCACCCUUUCUCUCUAACCAGCUUGGUAGAUUCAUUUUCUUCCAGAAGCUCCCACAAGGACACUGAAGGAUGAGGAAGAAGGAGCAGGAAGAAGGGGGGAAAACAAACUGUGGUACAGAUUCUAUUUCCACUUCCCUCCUUGAAUGGAACAAGUAUUUCCUCUGGCCCAGGCUCUCCUUUUUGUUUGUGCAGCCAUUGGGAAUUACCACCAGGAUGCUUCCUGGACACUCCAGGGACCAGUUUGGCUGGAAUUUCUCUUGUGUUUUGCACAGCACAUGCAGAGCCAGGAAUGGAUCCACACACAUACACACUGUACGAGGGAAAGCUGAAGCUGUAUGUUCUGGAUUUUCUCCUAGUAUUUCUUUACAGCUUGAAGUUGAAAAACUGGUCCUUAUCUCCUGAGCUCUAUCAGGAGUGGCAUCAGUGUCAGUUUCAUCAGGAGCACACCUUCUGGAAUGGGAGUGCUGCCCUGCAGGUGCCAAAACACAGGUGUUUAAGGACAUCUGAGAUGCCCUGGGGAUCCCACCUGGCCUCUCUCUGCUGAUCCAAAAGGACACAAAACCCUUUAGAUGGUAUCCCAGCUACCCCAAAGCAUUUCCAGUGACACAGAGGUUACUCCUAAAGGUUUGGGGUUUUAUUUUCAAUUUUUUUUUUCAUUUCGAAUGUCAUUAAUUGGUGUUUGAAUUAAACCAGUGAUGUGCAUGUAGCUCCAGGUGUUUUAUUGUCCAGGUUUAUGUGUUUUUUUGGGGAUCCACUACUCUGGAAGAAGGAGUAUGACCUUGUUUCUCUGGGACAGUGGUUGAUGUUGGCCACUCUCUGUCACAAGGAGGUCUACAUUAUAUUUUUAAUUCACUGGUAACCGCAAAGAAAUCCAGAGGAGAAAAAGAAGGAAUAACAAAACAAGAACAUUAGGAGCUGGAAGGGAUGGUGAGAGGAAAGACUUCCAAAAGUAGAGAGGUAAAGGAAGAGCCAUUAUUCAAACCUCAGGCUCCUCUGGAAGGCACACAGCAGAGCAAAGGCUCCCUCUCAGUCAUGGGAUGCCUGGUGCAACACAACUGCCUCCAGAAAACCUGCAGGUGAAAUGAAGUGGAAGAAACAGAUAAUACACAGGAAAAUGUACCCCUUGACAAGGAUCUUAGUUAUGAAAGUGCUUUAUAGGGUAAUAAAUGCUCAGUAGCAAGUUUAAAAUAAAAAUAA
rnacentral:lncRNA from 1 species